GAUGAACGCUGGCGGCGUGCCUAAUACAUGCAAGUCGAGCGAACAGACGAGGAGCUUGCUCCUCUGACGUUAGCGGCGGACGGGUGAGUAACACGUGGAUAACCUACCUAUAAGACUGGGAUAACUUCGGGAAACCGGAGCUAAUACCGGAUAAUAUAUUGAACCGCAUGGUUCAAUAGUGAAAGACGGUUUUGCUGUCACUUAUAGAUGGAUCCGCGCCGCAUUAGCUAGUUGGUAAGGUAACGGCUUACCAAGGCAACGAUGCGUAGCCGACCUGAGAGGGUGAUCGGCCACACUGGAACUGAGACACGGUCCAGACUCCUACGGGAGGCAGCAGUAGGGAAUCUUCCGCAAUGGGCGAAAGCUUGACGGAGCAACGCCGCGUGAGUGAUGAAGGUCUUCGGAUCGUAAAACUCUGUUAUUAGGGAAGAACAAAUGUGUAAGUAAAUGCACGUCUUGACGGUACCUAAUCAGAAAGCCACGGCUAACUACGUG
rnacentral:rRNA from 1 species